GGAGCGAUCCCUGCGGAAAGCAGAAAGAGUUGGGAGGGAAAGAUGUGCUUGGUAGUGGGAUCCCUUUGGAGGUGGCAGAAGUUACGGAGAAUUCGACGUUGGACUAUCUGAGUUCAGAUGAGUUAUUUGAUCCACAAACUUUCACGUGCUAUUCAAGUACUCUACCAUUUGAGCUGAGUCUCCCAAACAAGGUAUAUGCUGGAAAUACAGAUGUCUGCCAGGAUAAGUGGUUAAAGAGAAAUGCUGAACAUUUCAACAAAAGUUUUUAGUGAAAUGUGGCUUCCAGGAUCCAUAGGGCUGUAACUUUAACCUUGCAACUUUAAACAUUUCUAACUUUUCCACUAGGGGGAGCAGUUACACCGUUUCUUUGUAAAUUUCUUUUUAUAGAGACAACGGCACAGCAACAGGUCCUUCUGGCCCAAUGAGUCCGCACCACCUAGUUACACCCAUGUGACCGAUUAAUCUGCUAGCCAGUAUGUCUUUGGAAUGUGGAAGGAAAGUAGAGUACUCAAAGGAAACCCAUGUGGUCACGGGAGAAUGUACAAAUUCCUUCCAGACAUCAGUGGAAUUGAACCUGGGUCAUUGGUGCUGUAAUAGUAUUAUGCUAACCACUACACUACUGUGCCAUUCCAAACAAUUUAUUGAUAUAAAUUCUUCAUCUGCUCAAAUAAUUUUCCUUAUUGUAGAAAGUACAAAGGGGAAAAAUACUAUUUGGCAGACUGAUAGAGUGAUGCCAUUAUGAUCCAUACUGUGAUGUCUAAUUGAAGGUAGUUUAGCGGUUAACAUGAUCCUUUACAGUGCCAGCUGUAAAAUUGGGGUUCAAUUCCCACCACUGUCUGUAGGGAGCCUAUACAUUCUCCCCAUGACCACAAGGUUUCCUCCAGGUGACCAGUUUCCUCCCACAUUCCAAAGACGUGUGGGUUAGGGAUAGUAAGUUGUGGGCAUGCCAUGUUGGUGCUGAAAGUACAGCAACACUUGCGUACUGCCCCCAGCAAACCCUAGAUCCUUCUGAAUAAGCCUAUCAUGUGAGUCCUUGCAAAAGGCCUUGUUUAUGUUGAUGUGGACAGCAUUUACUGCCCAGCCUUCUUAAAUAGUCUUAGUCACCUCUUUUAAAAAUCUCAGUCAAAUUUCUGAGGCACAAUUUCCCACACACAAAACCUUGUUGACUCUCCUUAAUCAUUCUUGCCUUUCCAAAUGCAAGAAAAUGCUGUCUCUCAGAAUGCCUUCCAAUAGCUUUCCCACCAUUAAUACAAUGGCCUGUAGUUGAUUUAUUCCUGCUGCCCUAAAGUACAACACCUUCCGGUCUUACCUCAUCUCACCUGUGGCUAACAAAUUUCUCAAGGCACCAGAAAACAUUAUCAUGCUUCCCAUAUCUCUUAGUAUGCAUUUGAUCAGGUCCCAGGGAUUUAACUAAUGUUAUUUGUUUGAAGACUUAUAAAACCACCUUUUUUGUAAUGCUAUAUUACAGGAUAUCACUAUCCCCACUCUUAAACUGAUUAAGUUAUUUUCUUCUUCAGAUGAGAAGUAUUCAUUUAAGACUUCACGAAUUUCCUGUGGCUCCAUACAUAGAUUACCACUUUGAUUGUUAAGAGAACUUAAAAGUUCAACGUAAAUUUAUUAUCAAAGGACAUGUAUGUCGCCAUAUGCAUCCCUGAGAUUCAUUUUCUUAUGGGCAUAGUCAAUAAAUCCAUAGAAUAAUAACCAUAACAGUGUCAAGAAAGGCUGCGUCAACUUGGGCAUUCAACCAGUAUGCAAAAGACAAACUGUGUAAAUACAAGAAAGAAAUAAUAAUAAAUAAAUAAGCAAUAAAUAUUGAACACAUGAAAUGAAAAGUCCAUAGGUUGCGGGAACAUUUCAAUGAUGGGCAAGUGAAGUUGAGUGAAGUUAUUCCCUUUGGCUCAUGAGCUUGAUGGUUGGGGGGGUAGUAAGUGUUCCUGAACCUGGUGGUGUGAGUCCUGAGGCUCUUGUACCGUCUUCCUGAUGGCAGGAGUGAGAAGCCCUGGGUGGUGGGUGUCCCUGAUGAUGGAUGCUAUGUUCCUGUAGUUGUACUCAUUGGUGGGAGGGCUUAAUCUGUGAUGGGCUGGGCUGUAUCCACCAUUUUUUUGUAGGAUUUUCCAUUCAAGGACAUUGAUGUUUCCAUACCAGGCCAUGGUACAGCCAGUCAAUAUGCUCUCCAUUACACAUCUAUAGAAGUUUGUCAAAGUUUUAGAUGCCAAGCUGAAUCUCUGCAAACUUCUACGGAAGUAGAGGUGCUGUCAUACUUUCUUGAUAAUUGCUCUGAUGUGCUGGGCCCAGGACAGGUCCCCCAAAAUAAUAACUGAGGAAUUUAAAGUUGCAGACCCUCUCCACCUCUGAUCCUCUAAUGAGGACUGGCUCAUGGACCUCUGAUUUACUUCUCCUGAUAUCAGUAAUCAGCUCCUUGGUCUGGCUGACAUUGAGUAAGAGGUUGUUAUGGCACCACCAGCCAGAUUUUCAGUUCCACUCGUAUAUGCUGAUUCUUCAUCACCUUGAUUUGGCCAGCAACAGUGGUGUCAUCAGCAAAUUUGAGUAUGACUUUGAGCUGUGCUUAGCCACACAAUUAUAAAAGUAAAGAGGAUAGAGAAGGGGCUACAUCCUAGUGGUGCAUCUGUGCUGAUGGAGAUUGUGGAGGAGAUGCUGUUGCCAAUCCAAGCUGACUGAGGUUUACAAGUGAGGAAUCUCACUUUUGCACAAGGACCAUAAGACCAUAAGAUGUAGGAGCAGAAUUAGGCCAUUUCAUCAUGGCUGAUCCAUUUCCCUGUCAACCCCAAUCUUCUGCCUACUCCCUAUGUCCCUUCAUGCCCUGACUAAUCAAAAAUCUUAUCAACUACUGCCUUAAGUAUACCCAAUGACUUGGCCUCCAAAACCACUGUCUGGCUAACCCUCUCCAAUAUCAGAACAUCCUUUUUUAGAGAAGGGCCUCAAAACUGCUCACAAUACUCCCAAGUGAGGCCUCACCAUUAUAUCCUCAACAUUAUACCAUUGCCUUUAUAUUCUUUAUAUUCUAAUCUUCUCAAAAUGAAUGCUAACAUCACAUUUACCUUCCUCACUGCUGACUCAACCUGCAAAUUAACCUUUAUGGAACCUUGCAUGAGUACUCCCAAGUCCCUUUGCACUCAGAUUUUUGAAUGUCAAGAAGGUACUGAGGCCGAGGUCUUGAAGCAUCUCAGCAAUCAGUACCAUCAUAAGCUUCUGAAGUAUUCCUGAUGUAUGCAUCUUUGCUGUUCAGAUGUUCUAGGGCUGAGUGAAGAGGCAAUGAAAUGGCAUCUGCUGUGCACCUGAUGCGCUGGAAGGUAAAUUGGACUCGAUCCAAGUAACUUCUCAGGCAGGUGUUGAUGUUUCAUCACCAAAUUCUCAAAACACUUCAUCACUGUGGAUGCAAGUGCUACUAGACGAUAGUAAUUGAGACAGGGCAUCAUAUACUUAGUCAAUUCUCCCUUCCCUUACUCUUUUCCCCUUAAUAUACUUAAAAGAAUCUUUUAGGAUUCUCCUUUACCUUAUCUGCCUCAGAAAUCUCACCUCUUUGUCCUCCUCAUUUCCUUCUCAUCUAUUCCUACAUCCUUUAUACUAUAUUGAAGUGGUUUGAUUGCUCUCAGCUGCUUAUACCUGAUAUAUACCUACAUUUUCCUCACCAGCCACUCAAUAUGCUUUGUCAACAAGGUUUCUUCAAUCUUGUCACACUAACAAGAGCAUGUUGGUUCUGACCUCUCAUCUUACUUUUAAAAGCCACCCAUUCGCUAAAUAUCCAUUUCCUUCAGCUUCAAAUUAACUUGUGCAUGUUCUCAAAUGAUGCUUGAAGACCAUAAACUAUGCUGUAGAAGCAGAAUUAGGCCAUUUGGCCCAUUGAGUCUUCUCUGUCAUUUUAUUUUCCUCUAUCCAAUUUUCCUCUCAGCCCUAAUCUCCCGUCUUCUCCCCCUGAACCUUCAUGCCCUGACUAAUCAAGGAUCUGUCAGCCUCUGCCUUAAAUAGACAUGAAAACUUGGCCUCCACCCCUGCCUGUGGUAAAGAAUUCUGUAGGUUCACUACUUUCUGGCUAAGGAAACUUCUCCUCAUCUCUAUUCUGAGGCUACAUCCUCUGGUCUUAGACUCCCCUACCAUAGGAAACAUCCUCUCCACAUCCACUAUAUCAAGGCCUUUCACCAUUCAAUUGGUUUAAAUGAGGUCACCCAUCAUUCUUCUGAAUUCCAGUAAAUACAGGCCCAGAGCCAUCAAGCACUCUUCAUAUGACAAACUGUUUACUCCUGGAAUCAUUUUCAUGAACCUCCUUUGAACCCAUACCAGUUUUAGCAUAUCCAUUCUAAGGGGCCUAAAACUGCUCACAAUACUCCAACUAAGGCCUCACCAGUGCUUUAUAAAGUCUCAACAUUACAUCCUUGUUUUUAUAUUCUGGUCCUCUUCAAAUGAAUUUUGAACAUUGCAUUUGCUUUCCUCACCACAGACUCGACAUGUAAUUUAACCUUUAGGGAACCCUGCACAAGGCACCAAAGUCCCAUUGUGCCUCUAUUAUUGGUAUUUUCUCUCCAGUUAGAAAAUAGUCUACUUAAGUGUAUGACCAUACACUUCCCAACACUAUAUUCCAUCUGCCAUUUCUUUGCCCAUUCUCCUCUUCCAAGUCCUUCUGUAGCUUCUGUACUUCCUCAAAACUAUCUGCCCUUCCAUCUGGCUUUAAGAGUUAUCUCGAAUGUGGCCGCCCCGAUUAACUGAUGAUUCAAUUAACUGGUAGCUGAAGGGACUUUUGAUGUCCUCUUUAAUAAUAUUGGCUAGCUUACUUUCAUAUUCCAUCCUUACUUUCUUAAUGACUUUUCAGUUGCCCUCUUUUGGUUUUUAAAAGCUUCCAGUCCUCUAACUUCAAACUGAUUUUUGCUCUAUUAUAUGGCCUCUCUUUGGCUUUGACUCCUCUUCUUAGCCAUGGUUGUGUCGUCUUUUCUUUAGAAUACUUCUUCCUCUUGUGAUGUAUACAUCUCGUGCCUUCUGAAUUGCUCCCAGAAUUCCAGCCAUUGCUGCUCAGUUGUCAUUCCAAUCAAUUUUGGCCAACUCCUCUCUCAUGUGUCGGUAAUUCCCUUUACUCCACUGUAAUAGUGACUUUACCUUCUCAAAUUUCAAGGUGAAUUUGAACAGAUUAUGAUCGCAUCCCUAAGGGUUUCUUUAAGCUCUCUAAUCGAUUGUGAUUCAUUGCACAACACCCAUUCCAGAAUAGUUGGCCCCCUAGUGGGCUCAACCAUGAGUUGCUCUAAAAAUCCAUCUCAUACCCAUUCUAGGAAUUGCCCCUCCUGGAAUCUAUCAGCAUAUUGAAAUUCCCCAUGACUUGUAACAUUGCCCCUUUGAAAUGCAUUUUCUAUCUGCCAUUGUAAUUUGUAGACCACUUCCUUACUACUGUUAGGGGGUCUGUUUACAACUCCCAUCAAGGUCUUUUUACCCUUGCAGUUCCUUAGCUCUAUCCACCAUGAUUCAACACUUUAUAGCCCUAUUGUCAGCUUUUUCUAAUGAGUACAUUUCUUUUUUUUACCAACAGAGCAACCAGCCUCCUGUCUAUGCUUUCAAUAGAAUGUGCAUGCUUGGACAUUAAGCUUACACGUAUAACUUUCUUUCAGUCUUGAUUCAGUCACGAAAUUUGCCUUUCCCCAGUUUAGAACUUGAAGAUCAGUUACUAAAAGAAUUAUGACCGAUUAUUGGUCUCAAAUGGCCCCCACCACCUGGCACAAUCAUCCACUUCUUUAUUUCUAGUUAUGCUAUUGUUUUAUUUCUGCUAUGCAAUUACCAUCAUGUGGUCCUGAAACUAACUUAUCAAACGAGAAUAAUAGUUUCUGAUGAAUUUUAUUGAUAGUUUAUCUCUUCCACUCCCACAUUUCAGUAGAAUUCACUGAGACUGUGGGGCUCUUUCCAGCAAUGCAAUAUACUGUAGUUUGUCCCUUCUCUUUCAAAAUCUUUUCUCCUGUCUGAUGAGUGACUGCAGAUUUCUUGAAGGUACUUUCAACCCUUUCACAACUGUAGUUCUUCAAAAUUUAUUUUGUUCAUUAAGUUUAGGAAAUGCUGCAGCUAAUUUUCAAUAUUAUAGUGAAGCAGGUUGUUUGGAGAGGUAAAUGUUAACAAAUAUAAUGGUGAGAGUUCCACUUUUCCUUUAACAUAGUAACCUAUAUGACAUUGCAGGGAUCCAUAUGGGUGUAAGGAAGUGCACUAUAAUGUUCUUCUGCAAGAAUUUGAUUGAUUAGAUUUUAAGAUGAGUUUUGUCCCUUUGCCAUGAAGGAGUUGGAGACUUUAGAAUUGCCUCAAUGUUCACCAGACCCAUGGAUAAUUUUAAAGACCUUAAUUAGCACUGACACUUAACAAAAAAUAAUUAUUGCAAACCCAAUUCCCAGCAUCUCCCUUAAGGACACCAUUCAUUUCUUUCAUUUUCUCUUAUCUUUGCAGUGCCGGUUCUCUGGAGGAUGUCUUCCACUCCAGGACAUUUGGGAUGUUCCUUUAUCUAGGAAAUCCUUAUCCGAUUCUCUCAUCUGCAGCCCUUUGUUGCCUCCACUCAUUGUCACCCAGCCUCUGUCCCUUGUCCUACUCUUCCCUCUAUCUGCUCAUCUCCACACUCUGAUCCACCUAUAUAGUUGGCUGUCUUUUGUCCCAUCCCUUCCCCUGGCCUUUAUAUACUGACCAACUUUUCUUCAUCCUUUCAGUCCAGCUGAAGGGUCUUGACCUGAAAUAACAAUUGCUUAUUUUCCUCCACAGCUGCAGAUCCCACCAGCAGCUUUUUUUUCCCUCUGGAUACCAGCACCUGCAGUGUUUUAUCUUCAUUUUAAUCAUCACACAGACAUUGAGGGUAGGUCAUCCUAUUCUACAUGUUUGCACAUCAGAUAGACUUACACAGCAGCAUCAUAAAACAAAAAGCAAACAGUAUUCACUGUAAAUUUUGUCAGUUCCCUAAUUCUUUACAAUAUAUAGGACUUAAGGAAUCAGUCAUCAGGUGGCUGCUUUCAGAUGAUUGUGAGAUGGGCCAUAUAGCCACCAGUUGUAGAUAAGGCCCUUCAGUAGCCUUAAAAAGAUUAAUGUGACAUUUCCCCUUUCUCUUACCCCAGAAAAACAGCAAUGACUUCCACAAUGUGCAUUAAACAUUUGCCAGAAAGCAAAGACGUAGUUACUAGUGAUGAAAAUAGAAAACACUAAGCUCAUUUAAAACCUACCAAAGCUCAGUGAUUUAGACCAUAAAUAGGAGUAGAAUUAGGCCAUUCCAUUUAUCAAAUAAAUACACACUGAUACAUUAUUGAGAGGUAAAAAUAAUGUUCUUCUGCCUUCUCCCCCCUAAUUUCUAACACCAUUACUCAUCAGGAACCCAUCAACCUCCGCUUCAAAUAUACCCAAUAACUUUGCCUCCACAGCUGUCUGUGGUAUUGAAUACCAUCCGAGUAAAAUGAAUUCUACUGAAGUUACUGUAUGGUGAAUCUGGAGCCAGAUGUGGCCAGACAAGAUUACAGGAGCAGAUACGUUACUCUUAUAUGCAUGAGUGUUCUUUUAAAUUAAAAAAAAACCUUGCAGCAGUCAUGGUUAUUUUGAAUACAGCUGAGAUUAGUUGAAUGGGAAUUUGACAAAAACAAUAAACGAAUUUUAGAUAUGACAGCUGCCAUCGUGGAAGUUCCACUCAUUUGCUUUUGGUCAUUAGGUUAAAUUUCUGAACCUAGUUCAGCAGCACCAUUUCCAUAGAUAUGUUAAAGUAUUAUCAAAACUAAUUGACAGGUAACUAAUUAUUCUCUAUUUAGGAGGAAAUCUACAACAAUCAUGGACACUGAACAUACCAGCAGCUAAAGGAAAACAGUUCAAAGCUGUUUUGGUAUAGAUCUACAUUAACAGCAAAAGAUCGUAAAGGUCAUUCAUACUGCGUGAAGACUUGAUCAGGACAAUGGCAUUUGCACGACGAAAGCGGUAACGAUGUGAACCCACCUUGCCAUAGUACGAAAAGGUGUGAGAUGGUUGCCUGUAGAACACAUGCCUACGCCUACGCAUGGAACUGCUGGUUGUUGACGGUUUCAUCCCAAUCCUGCAGGUUAAGGUCCCCCUACUCCAGAAGCUGAAUCUAGGAUGAUGCUCUGGUGUAGCAUUGAGGGAGUGCUACACUACCAGAAAAGUGGAUUUACCCGAGAUCUCUCAAAACUAUUUUUGCAUUUUAGCCUGGAUAAUAUGUCACAAUGAGAUUAUGAAAAAUGCCUGUUUGAGACUUUGCUCUGUAUUACACUUGUGACUGCAUUGUUGGAAACUAACUCUGCUCAAGCCCAGCUGCGAAAGGAGGAAGGUUGGGAAUGGGGCUAGCAACCCCAUCCUGUAAAAACCCAGUGCUAUAGAAACACCAGCAGAAGCUCCAAACCCCUCAUUACAGUAGUGGAAGGAUAGACCAAGAUAGGCCACACCAGUAGCUCACCAGAAUCCUCAGGUGUGGCCCAUCUUGGUCUAUCCUUCCUUUACCAGGGAUGAGGGGUUUGGAGCUUCUGCUAGUGUUUCUAUAGCACUGGGUUUUUAAAGGAUGGGGCCUUGUUAAUAGCCAGUUUAAAACAUCAUACAAUCUACAUCAGAUAAUAAAUUGAAUUAAAGAAUACACAACAGUAAAAGCAGAAGGCUAGGAAUACUUUCACAUCGAAAGUUUGUAUUUAUAUCAAAGACUUCAUAAGCACAUGUAUCAAUCACAGAUUACUUAAUAUAAAUUAUGUAUAAUUCCCAGGUUAGGACAAAAUUCCAUUCCGUAGAACUGUUUGUAAUCCAAGUCAUUUGUCAGUUGUAAACGUUCAAAAAACAUGAAUAGGACAGAACCACAGCUUUAGCUGUCUGUGAUGGCAGAGCAAGCAGGCGUGAGAAGAGUGGCAGACUCAGUGAUUUUGAGAAGCUGUUCAGUGCUCCUCACUCUGCUCUGCUCAUCACAGCCUCCAGUUUUCAAAGCAGGUUUGGGAGGAGGCAGUGGGGGGGGGGGGGGGGGAAGAAAUGAGGAUGAAAAGGGUAGACACAUGG